UGUGUUGUAACUCAGUGAUAGAGCGCUUGUCUAGAACAUGUGAGGAACUGGGUUCAAUCCUCAGCACCACAU
rfam:Ictidomys tridecemlineatus contig010834, whole genome shotgun sequence.